CAGUCGCCACGGGAAAACGGAGGAUCCAAGCGUUAUCCGGAUUUAUUGGGUUUAAAGGGUGCGUAGGUGGCCUGUUAAGUCAGGGGUGAAAGACGGUAGCUUAACUAUCGCAGUGCCCUUGAUACUGAUGGGCUUGAAUGAACUAGAGGUAGGCGGAAUGUGACAAGUAGCGGUGAAAUGCAUAGAUAUGUCACAGAACACCGAUUGCGAAGGCAGCUUACUAUGGUUUUAUUGACACUGAGGCACGAAAGCGUGGGGAUCAAACAGGAUUAGAUACCCCAGUAGUCCCUGUCUCUUAUAC
rnacentral:rRNA from 1 species